GGGCUUGACAUCCCACGAACCUGCUGAAGGGCAGGAGUGCCCGCAAGGGAGCGCGGAGACAGGUGGUGCAUGGCUGUCGUCAGCUCGUGUCGUGAGAUGUUGGGUUAAGUCCCGCAACGAGCGCAACCCUCACCCCUUGUUGCUACCAGGUAAAGCUGGGCACUCUAGGGGAACUGCCCCGGUCAACGGGGAGGAAGGCGGGGAUGACGUCAAGUCAUCAUGCCCCUUACGUCCUGGGCUACACACGUGCUACAAUGGCCGGUACAAAGGGAUGCCACACCGCGAGGUAGAGCUAAACCCAAAAAGCCGGUCUAAGUUCAGAUUGGAGUCUGCAACUCGACUCCAUGAAGGAGGAAUCGCUAGUAAUCGCGUAUCAGCACGACGCGGUGAAUACGUUCCCGGGCCUUGUACACACCGCCCGUCACACCACGAAAGCCAGCUGUACUCGAAGUCGCUGAG
rnacentral:rRNA from 2 species